AUCUCUUUCAUUUGGUUCUUCUUAUUCUUCAUUUAAUAAUUCUUCUGAUCUAAUAAUAUCAUUUCCCGAUGAUAAAAAAAAUAAAAAUAAUGAACACUUAGUUAUUGAAAAUUCGGGUAAAAGCAUUUUAAAUAAUACAUGUUCAAAUGAUAUAUGCUCGAAUGAUACUACAAAACUUGAACGUAAAAAAGUGACAAAAAAAAAUAGUUUUAAUAGAAACAGCAGUAGUAGUACUAAUAGUAGGAAUGACAAUAAAUCGUGUCAUUCAGAUUAUAAAACAAAAAAACAUACCCAAUUGGAUAGAGAACAUAGCGAAUGUAGUGAACAUAAUUAUGGGAAAAAAAAAUACAUGAAUAUGAGUAAAAUAGAAUUGAGCAAAAAAUUAGUUUUAUAUAAAAAAAAAUAUUACGAAGAAUUGAACAAAAACAAAACAUUACACUUUUUGUUAGCUAACAAGGUAAUCAACAUUAGUACAUAUACAUAUAUAUAUAUAUAUAUAUAUAUAUAUAUAUAUAUAUAUGUAAGUACGGCUUAUAUGUUUAUGCACACCUAUAUCCAUAUGUAUACCUUAUGUGCAUUUUUCUAUGUAUAUGUUAUAUAUGUAUUCUCUGUGUGUAUGUCUUAUAUGUAUUCCCUGUUUGUAUGUCUUAUAUGUAUUCCCUGUGUUGUUUGAUUUAUUUUUGUACUCCCUAUAUACGAUAUGUCUCAUGUGUAUACCUAUCGUUCCUAUUUACGCAUAUAUACUUCAUUCAGGAUGAGGAAAUGGAACAGCUUAGGAAAAGCCACAAUGAAGAGAUAGAACACAAACAAUAUUUACACGAAGAAGAAGAAAAAAAAACAGAAAAAGAAAUACAAAACUUAAAAUUUUUAUUAGAUAAAGAAUAUAUAAAUAGCAAGGAAUUAUUUAAUAAGAAUAAAGAGCUUAAUGAUGAAAACGAUAAGUUAAAAAAAAAGUUAGAUACAUGUUUGUAUUCAGAUAAGGGUAUAAAUGUAAAAUUAUAUGAAUUAAAUAUAAUGAUGUUAAAAGAAAAAGAAAAAAAUAAUUUUUUAUUAGCAGAUAAUAUAAAAUUAAAAAAUAUAAUUUCUCAAAUAAAUGCAAAUCAAACAUUUUUUUAUAAAAAUUAUAAUGACAACAAUAAUAAUAAUAAUAAUAUUAAUAAUAUAAAGAAUAAAAAAAGGUCUAUAGAUAUAUAUAAUAAUACAAAUUAUUAUACGAAUAGAAAUUUCGAUAAAGAAAGUAAUAUACAUUUGAAUUAUGAUCAUAUGGACAGUUGUAGUUACAUUGGUAUUGAUUACCCGUUGGAAACUUAUUAUAAUAAACGUGAACAAUUAUUAUUUGAUAAAUUUAAUAAUACUAAUAAUGAUAGUGUUAGUGCCUUUAGUGAUGUUGAUAAUAAUUAUAAUGAUGGUUCCGAUUGUAUACAUAAUCGAUACGGAAAUAAUAAAAAAGGAAUAAAAAAGAAGGGGAAAAUAUAUGAUAUGCGUACUAAACAUUUUUUUAAUCAAUAUAACAAUAAAACAACAGAGCCUUGGUUAUAUAGUAGUACUUUAUAUAACGAUGAUUAUUAUGUAGGUAGUUAUACGAAAAAUGCUAUAUUUAAAAAAUAUUACAAUAAUAACCCUUACCUUAAUUUUAAAUUAAGUUCGUCGUGUUAUAGUGACAAUACAGUGGACGUAAGAACACAAGAUGAAGAAAAAAAAAAAAAAAAAAAAAAAAGGUACAACAAUUUAAGUGCUGAUAGAAGUAAAAGAGAUAGAUUAUUUAAUAAGAGCAAAAGUAUACAAGAUAAUGAGUUUGAUAAUGUUAUGUUUAGAGGCGCAAACGGUGGAAAGCGAGAUGAUCAUAAUAAUGACCAGUUUAGUAAUCGGCGCAACAAGCGCUAUGUUACCCAACACGACACAAAACAUGACACAAAACAUGACACAAAACAUGACACAAAACANNNNNNNNNNACAAAACAUGACACAAAACAUGACACAAAACAUGACACAAAACAUGAUGCGAAACAUGACAGUCGACAUUACAACAAUGAUGAUAAACAAAUAAAGCAUAAAAGCUUUGAUAAUGGAAAGGUUGAAAAUAGAAAGGUUGAAAAUAGAAAGGUUGAAAAUAGAAAGGUUGAUAACAAAAUAAGUAAGAAUGAUAAAACGAAUGAUGAAUAUAAAGAUAAAAACAUAACAGAAGAAAUACGAAAAGAUAUAUUAAAUUUUAAUGAAAAUAAAUACAAUAAUAUGAUUAAAAAUAUAACUAAAGAAGAAAAAGAAAUAGAAAAAAUAAAAGAAGAUGAUUUAUAUGCUAUAUUUAUGCAAAACUGGAAUGAAUCAAAUAUAGACAAUAAUAGUAAUUAUGAUAAAAAUGAUUUUUUAAAUUUAUCUGGUUCUUUUAUUACUAACCUUAACCAAAAUGAUAUAUUUAUUGACAAAUCAGGUAAAAGUGAUGACAUGAAUAGUUAUGAGAAUAAUAAUAUAAAUUUAGUUGGUACUUAUGACAUUGAUGCAACCAGUCCUAAUAAUAUUCCUCUAAUCGGUUCUAAUGAUAUUAACUUGGUUUACUAUAACAAUAAUAAUAGUAA
ensembl:lncRNA